GAGGAGUGGAAGAUUAGUGAAGCAGGACAUGUAUGAACUCCAAAGUCAGAUCAAUUUGUUUAAAGUGAUUGUUACUCUACUAGUCAUCAGUAUAAAAUGUCGUAAUGUUUUUUUUUUUAAUCUUUCGUGAGUUUCCAAGGCAUAUAGCUACUUAUUUUUUUUGUCUUCAGUUUGUUUUUGAUUCACAUGCUGAGUUCUUGUAUCAUUCACCAGUAGCUGCUUAUUUUUCUUGC
rnacentral:lncRNA from 1 species